rnacentral:lncRNA from 1 species
CUUUGUCCUCUGCACGAUGAAAUUAUAUUAAUACUUACGAUGACGAUUGGUACCACAUGCAUAUAAAUGUCUAAGUUGCAUUGUCGCAUUUAUCGAAUUUAAAGAUGUAUAUGUUAUUGAUUAUGAUUGAAGCUGUGACUACUUGAUAAUUGUUUAUCAAAGAUGCUAUGUUGUUUAAGACUGAUUAUGAUGUUAAUUAUGAUUUCGAAUUACAUUUAUUAAUGUUAUUGUGUUAUGAAAUCUCAC